CCUACGGGAGGCAGCAGUGGGGAAUAUUGGACAAUGGGCGAAAGCCUGAUCCAGCCAUGCCGCGUGUGUGAAGAAGGCCUUCGGGUUGUAAAGCACUUUCAGUGGGGAAGAAAGCCUUGGGGCUAAUACCCUCGAGGAAGGACAUCACCCACAGAAGAAGCACCGGCUAACUCCGUGCCAGCAGCCGCGGUAAUACGGAGGGUGCGAGCGUUAAUCGGAAUUACUGGGCGUAAAGCGCGCGUAGGCGGUCUGAUAAGCCGGUUGUGAAAGCCCCGGGCUCAACCUGGGAACGGCAUCCGGAACUGUCAGGCUAGAGUGCAGGAGAGGAAGGUAGGAUUCCCGGUGUAGCGGUGAAAUGCGUAGAGAUCGGGAGGAAUACCAGUGGCGAAGGCGGCCUUCUGGACUGACACUGACGCUGAGGUGCGAAAGCGUGGGUAGCAAACAGGAUUAGAUACCCGGGGUAGUC
rnacentral:rRNA from 1 species